AACGAACGCUGGCGGCAGGCUUAACACAUGCAAGUCGAACGCCCCGCAAGGGGAGUGGCAGACGGGUGAGUAACGCGUGGGAAUCUACCCAGAUCUACGGAACAACAGAGGGAAACUUCUGCUAAUACCGUAUACGCCCCACGGGGGAAAGAUUUAUCGGAUUUGGAUGAGCCCGCGUAAGAUUAGCUAGUUGGUGAGGUAAUGGCUCACCGAGGCGACGAUCUUUAGCUGGUCUGAGAGGAUGAUCAGCCACACUGGGACUGAGACACGGCCCAGACUCCUACGGGAGGCAGCAGUGGGGAAUAUUGGACAAUGGGCGCAAGCCUGAUCCAGCCAUGCCGCGUGAGUGAUGAAGGCCUUAGGGUUGUAAAGCUCUUUCAGUAGGGAAGAUAAUGACGGUACCUACAGAAGAAGCCCCGGCUAACUUCGUGCCAGCCGCCGCGGUAAAAC
rnacentral:rRNA from 1 species